rnacentral:rRNA from 1 species
GAUGAACGCUGACAGAAUGCUUAACACAUGCAAGUCUUUGGCGAAGCUGUGCUUGCACAGCCUAGCCAAGGCGGACGGGUGAGUAACGCGUAAGGAACUUGCCCUGCAGUCAGGGAUAACAGACGGAAACGACUGAUAAGACCUGGUAAAGUCAGGCGGACUCAUGUCCAGCCUGAUGAAAAGAGAUGCUGCAGGAGAGCCUUGCGUCCUAUUAGCUUGUUGGUGGGGUAACGGCCCACCAAGGCGAUGAUAGGUAGCCGGCCUGAGAGGGUGGACGGCCACAAGGGGACUGAGAUACGGCCCUUACUCCUACGGGAGGCAGCAGUGGGGAAUAUUGGACAAUGGGGGCAACCCUGAUCCAGCAAUUCUGUGUGCACGAUGAAGGUUUUCGGAUUGUAAAGUGCUUUCAGCAGGGAAGAAAAAAGUGACGGUACCUGCAGAAGAAGCGACGGCUAAAUACGUG